rnacentral:rRNA from 1 species
AGGGCGCAUGGCGGAUGCCUUGGCUCUCGGAGGCGAUGAAGGACGUGAUAAGCUGCGAUAAGCUUUGGGGAGGUGCAAAUGACCUUUGAUCCAGAGAUUUCCGAAUGGGACAACCCAAUAUCUUGAAGAGGUAUUAUCCAACGUUGUUGGAGGCUAACGCAGGGAACUGAAACAUCUUAGUACCUGCAGGAAAAGAAAAUAAACAAUGAUUCCCCCAGUAGUGGCGAGCGAACGGGGAACAGCCCAAACCAUCCAUGUUACGGCAUGGGUGGGGUUGUAGGACUACGCCGUUGCAUGAAGACAUCAGAGAAGAACUUUCUGGAAAGAAAGACCAUAGAGCAUGACAGUUGCGUAUUCGAAUGUUGUCGAAGCAUAGUAGUAUCCUGAGUAGCGCGGAGCACGAGGAAUUCUGCGUGAAUCUGCCGGGACCAUCCGGUAAGGCUAAAUACUCCCGAGAGACCGAUAGCGAACCAGUACCGUGAGGGAAAGGUGAAAAGCACUUCGAACAGAAGAGUGAAAUAGUUCCUGAAACCGUGCGCCUACAAGCGGUCGGAGCUCGUUAAUGAGUGACGGCGUGCCUUUUGCAUAAUGAACCUACGAGUUGCCUUUGCCGGCAAGGUUAAGUGUGACGACACACGUAUCCGAAGCGAAAGCGAGUCUGAACAGGGCGUAUAGUCGGCAGUGGCAGACGCGAAACCAAGUGAUCUACCCUUGGCCAGGUUGAAGGCUGGGUAACACCAGCUGGAGGACCGCACCAAUAAGCGUUGAAAAGCUUCUGGAUGAGCUGAGGGUAGGGGUGAAAGGCUAAUCAAACUUGGAGAUAGCUCGUACUCCCCGAAAUGCAUUUAGGUGCAGCCUUGACCAUUACUAAUGUGAGGUAGAGCGACUGAUAAGAUGCGAGGGCUUCACCGCCUAUCAAGUCUUGACAAACUCCGAAUGCGCAUCAGUUCUACCGCAGGAGUGAGGGCAUGGGUGCUAAGGUCCGUGCCCGAGAGGAGAAGAAUCCGGACCACCUGCUAAGGUCCCGAAAUAACAGCUAAGUUAAACUAACGAAGUCAGAUUGCUAAGACAGCUAGGAUGUUGGCUUGGAAGCAGCCAUUCAUUUAAAGAGUGCGUAACAGCUCACUAGUCGAGGAGUUUGGCGUGGAUAAUAAUCGGGCAUAAGUAUUCUACCGAAGCUUUGGGAUGAGAAAUCAUCGGUAGGGGAGCAUUCCACUCUGCGUCGAAGGUGGGGCGUGAGCCCUGCUGGAGCGUGUGGAAAAGCAAAUGUAGGUAUAAGUAACGAUAAAGGGGGCGGGAAACCCCCUCGCCGAAAGACUAAGGUUUCCUGAUCAACGCUAAUCGGAUCAGGGUCAGUCGGGUCCUAAGGCUCAGCCGAACGGCGAUGCCGAUGGCAGAAACGGUUAAUAUUCCGUUACUACCUUCAGGAGUGACGUGGAGACGCAGUAGUGACAGUGCCGCCAUCUGACGGAAUAGAUGGUUGAAGGGUGUAGGAGUCGAUCAUGGCAGGCAAAUCCACCAUGAGAUCCGAACCUGACAGUAUGCCGCGUCCUUCGGGACAAGGCAAUAGUGCGCGUAAGCAUGCUGCCGAGAAAAUCCGCUAAACUUAAUCCUGCAGGUACCCGUACCGCAAACGGACACACGUAGUCGGGAUGAAUAUUCUAAGGCGCUUGAGUGAUUCACGGUUAAGGAACUAGGCAAACUGACCCUGUAACUUCGGGAUAAAGGGUCCCUACCCUUUUAUGGGAGGGCGCAGAGAAUCGGUCCAGGCAACUGUUUAACAAAAACACAGGGCUGUGCCAAAUCGAAAGAUCCAGUAUACAGCCUGACACCUGCCCGGUGCUGGAAGGUUAAGAGGAGAUGUCAUCGAUAAGAGAAGCGUUGAAUUGAAGCCCCAGUAAACGGCGGCCGUAACUAUAACGGUCCUAAGGUAGCGAAAUUCCUUGUCGGGUAAGUUCCGACCCGCACGAAUGGUGUAACGAUUUGGGUACUGUCUCAACAAGGGACCCGGCGAAAUUGUAGUAUGUGUGAAGAUGCACAUUACCCGCGAUAGGACGGAAAGACCCCGUAGAGCUUUACUGUAGUUUAACAUUGGAUUCCGGUAACAUAUGCACAGGAUAGGUGGGAGGCGGAGAAGCAGUGAUUUCGGUUGCUGCAGAGCCGACGUUGGGAUACCACUCUUGUGUUACUGGGGUUCUAACCUGUGGCCGUGAUCCGGCACAGGAACAGUGUUAGAUGGGCAGUUUGACUGGGGCGGUCGCCUCCAAAAGAGUAACGGAGGCGUCCAAAGGUUCCCUCAGAAUGGUUGGAAACCAUUCGAAGAGUGCAAAGGCAGAAGGGAGCUUGACUGCGACACCGACGGGUGGAGCAGGUACGAAAGUAGGACUUAGUGAUCCGGUGGUAUAAAGUGGGAUUGCCAUCGCUCAACGGAUAAAAGCUACCCUGGGGAUAACAGGCUGAUCUCCCCCAAGAGUCCACAUCGACGGGGAGGUUUGGCACCUCGAUGUCGGCUCAUCGCAUCCUGGGGCUGUA